UAAAGCUAAUAAGAGCGCAGGGCGGAUGCCUUGGCAUUGGGAACCGAAGAAGGACGUGGUUAACUGCGAAAAGCUGCGGCGAGUUGUAAGCGAACAAAGACCCGCAGAUAUCCGAAUGGAGCAAUCCAUAUGAGAGAAGCUCAUAUAUCAUAUACUGAAUACAUAGGUAUAUGAGGGGAACCUCCUGAACUGAAACAUCUAAGUAGGGAGAGGAAGAGAAAUCAACCGAGAUUUCGUAAGUAGUGGCGAGCGAAAGCGAAAGAGGCCAAACCGUAAUCAGCAAUGAAUACGGGGUUGCGGACUGCAAUUAGCAUUGUCAAAGCCUAGUUGAACAGGAUGGGAAGCCUGACCAAAGAAUGUGAGAGUCAUGUAAAUGAAAGGCCGAGACAGCGAGCAGGAUCCAGAGUACCGCGGGACACGUGAAACCCCGUGGGAAGCUGGGGGGACCACCCUCCAAGCCUAAAUAUUCCCCAAUGACCGAUAGCGAAGAGUACUGUGAAGGAAAGGUGAAAAGAACCCCGGGAGGGGAGUGAAAAAGAACCUGAAACCCUGUGCUUACAAGCACUGAGAGCACGUCAAAGUGUGAUCAGGUACCUUUUGUAGAAUGGUCCGGCGAGUUAUCAUAUGUAGCAAGGUUAAGGACUUAAGGUCUGGAGCCGAAGCGAGAGCGAGUCUUAACAGGGCGAGAAGUUACAUGUGAUAGACCCGAAACCGAGUGACCUAGCCAUGUCCAGGCUGAAGUGGAGGUAAAACUCCAUGGAGGGCCGAACCGACCCCCGUUGAAAAGGUGGCGGAUGAGGUGUGGCUAGCGGAGAAAUUCCAAUCGAACUCGGAUAUAGCUGGUUCUCCCCGAAAUAGCUUUAGGGCUAGCGUUGUAUUAGAUUACCGGAGGUAAAGCACUGAAUGGGCUAGGGGCCGAGAGGUUACUGAACCUUAUCAAACUAAGAAUGCCGGAUAAUUGAUGUACAGCAGUCAGACUAUGUGAGAUAAGUCUCAUAGUCAAAAGGGAAACAGCCCAGACCCACAGCUAAGGUCCCAAAAUAGAUUUAAGUGGAAAAGGAUGUGGGGUUGCACAGACAACCAGGAUGUUGGCUUAGAAGCAGCCACUCAUUAAAAGAGUGCGUAAUAGCUCACUGGUCGAGUGACCCUGCGCCGAAAAUUCAACGGGGCUAAACAAUGUACCGAAGCUUGGGAUUCUAAAGUAAUUUAGAGUGGUAGGAGAGCGUCGAAUAAGGGGUGAAGUCAGAGCGGAAGCGCUGGUGGACUUUAUUCGAGUGAGAAUGCCGGAAUGAGUAGCGAGAAUUAUGUGAGAAUCAUAAUGGCCGAAAAUCUAAGGUUUCCUGAGGAAGGUUCGUCCGCUCAGGGUAAGCCGGGGGCUAAGGCGAGGCGGAGACGCGUAGCCGAUGCACAUACGGUUGAAAUUCCGUAGCCACCGAAAGAUUUAAGUACAGGGACGCUUUAGAAGUGAUGUUGCCGGGCGAUGGUUGACCCGGUCGUAAGGGAUCGAAAAUGAGUAGAGAAGUCAUCAUGGAAAGAGACAAGAAAAGCUGUAUGAAUAUCUUAGGUGCCCGUACCGCAAACCGACACAGGUAGAUAGGAAGAAGAUUCUAAGGCCAACGGGAGAAGGGUUGUUAAGGAACUCGGCAAGUUGACCCCGUAACUUAGGGAUAAGGGGUGCUCAAGUGAUUGAGCCGCAGAGAAUAGGCCCAGGCGACUGUUUAGCAAAAACACAGGUCUCUGCUAAAUCGAAAGAUGACGUAUAGGGGCUGACACCUGCCCGGUGCCGGAAGGUUAAGAGGAGAUGUGAGAGCAUUGAAUUGAAGCCCCGGUAAACGGCGGCCGUAACUAUAACGGUCCUAAGGUAGCGAAAUUCCUUGUCAGGUAAGUUCUGACCCGCACGAAAGGUGUAACGAUCUGGGCACUGUCUCAACAACCCGCCCGGCGAAAUUGUAGUACCGGUGAAGAUGCCGGUUACCCGCGACUAGACGGAAAGACCCCAUGGAGCUUUACUGUAGCCUAAUAUUGGAUUUCGGUAUUUCACGUACAGGAUAGGUGGGAGACUGGGAAGCACAGGCGUCAGCUUGUGUGGAGUCGACCUUGGGAUACCACUCUUGGAGUGCUGGAAUUCUAACCUGCGGCUUUGAAACAAGUCGGGGGACAUUGUUAGGUGGGCAGUUUGACUGGGGCGGUCGCCUCCUAAAGA
rnacentral:rRNA from 1 species